GAGGGUAUAGCUCAGUGGCAGAGAGCAUGCUUAGCAUGCACAAAGAUCCUGGGUUCAAUUCCCAGUACCGCUG
rnacentral:tRNA from 1 species